UCUCUAUGUAGCCUGGGUCGAUCAAGGAAGGAGUUGGGUCCCGUGGAAGAGGGACUAGGCCCGGCUGAGGAUAGACUGGGGGGCCCUGUGGUGGCACCUGCUGAUAUAGUGGGGGCACUGGAUUGUACUGUGGUGGUGCUGGGCAGUACGGUGGCUAGGGCACCGGUUCAUACUGCGGCGGUGGUGCCGGGUGGUACUGUGGUGGAGCAGGCUUGUGCCGGGGUAGCUCGGGAUUUGCUUGCUGUAGCGGUGGCUCAACCUGUGGUAGUGGGGGAGGUUCAGGUAACUCCCUUCUCUCCUCUCGACCUUGCUGGGCGGCAAUGAUCCUUUCCAGCAUCUCAAAUAUUCUGUCCACAUCUUCCCGAAGCGAAUCAUCCCGAGCUACUUGGUUUAUCAGGGGUCUUCCUCUCCUCAUUUCUCUACACCUGCAUUUCACAAGGAAGGGUUGAAUAACGAUUUAUCGGUGGGUAUUUAUUUAAGCAUUAUUGUGUAAGGGAUGAGUCCGAGGAACGCGACUAUGAUACCAACUGUAACGGCCCUAGAAAUUUUAAAAAAAAUGUAUGUAUUAAAAUUUCUAAGUGCGGAAGCGAAAUAAAAAUUCUGAUUAAUAUCCCUUACACAAUAACCAAAACGUAUUAAACGUAUGAAAGAAUAAACUAACUUAAAGGAAAUACUAUGAAUGAAUGCUGUAAGAAAAACUAAUAAAUUCUUUGGCUUCUACUCGCCGUCUUCCUGCAGAACGGGCUCGGGAACCAAGUCCUCCUGAUCUGAAAUGGUUAAGUAAGAAAUGAACUACACUAGCCCAGUAAAGACAUCACACUAUCUCACUGUCACAGAAGUAAAGGUUGGUAGAAAACGAAAACGACCAAUGGAGCAUAAUUUAUAACAAACUCAUUUAUCAAUAAUAAAACCCUUUACUGUCCACCUACUUCGGU
rnacentral:lncRNA from 1 species